GCCUGGGUGGCUCAGUCAGUUAAGCGUCUGACUUCGACUCAGGUCAUGAUCUCAUGGUCCGUGAGUUCAAGCCCCACGUCAGGCU
rnacentral:tRNA from 1 species